AUCAUGUACCAAGCAGGGGCCGAUUUGGCCUUUCCCCCUACAAAUCCCAGAGAGGGGCCAAAAAGGCCCUGUGAUUUUGAAUUAACAAGUCAUUGUCCUACAGUCAGCCACCUAUCAUUUGUAAAUGCAGCCGCUACGCAUACAUUAUGCAGGAAUGUGGCCCAAACAGAGGGGGAAGUGUAGCACACACACCAGUGUUCAACUGAUGCUUAUAAAAGACCAUCUCCAAAGCCUUCUCAAAUUUGUACAAUUUUGGCAUCUUUGCUUCACUUGUAUUCUCUCUUCUCUUCUCUGUGCUACAACGUCAAUCCUUCUACUGAGGGAAGUUUGGAGGCACCCUUUUUUAUAACGCUGCCCCCUGCACUGAAGUGAUACUGUAUGUGCAGUUAUCCACCUCAACACAAAAGGAAUUACGUCUCGUUUGAGAGCAAUUGGCUAUUUCUAUGGAUGUACAAAUUUGCACCAGAAGUGGUCAAUCAAGUCCUUGCUUGCUAUACAUGAACGAUCUUCUCCCAACACCCCUGUUUGUACAUCUCUUUUUGUGCCAGUCAGCCAAGUGAGCCACAAACAAGUGAAAUCUGCAUUACAGUUUAUCACAGAUGCAAAUAUUCUAGAGUUCCCAUUAGUAAAAAAA